CAAAACGUAGCUUAAACAAAGCAUCUCGCUUACACCGGGAGUAUGUCUGUGCAACUCAGAUCAUUUUGA
rnacentral:tRNA from 1 species